ensembl:processed_transcript Gm13986 predicted gene 13986
AGGGGAACCUUUCGGAGAGUUUUUAGCGGCAUUUUAAGGAAGCGAAUUUGUAUCCCGCUCCCUCAAGGCAAAACUGAAAUUGUGUCUUGAAAAACAAUUUUGUGCCCACUCGUGUUUCUUAACGUGACUCCCGAUUGGAGAGUUUGCUGAACCAUCUGGCUCCAGGAUCUUACACUAUUUACAGAACGGACCCGUAGAGUUAUAAAUUACUCUCUACCUAUUAUUUUAUUUCCCAUCUUUCUCCCUAAACAGUUUUUUUUUUUUCAUUUUUCGGCUCCCAAAACCGAGGUGUGGUUUACAUUUCUGUGGGUAUACACUUUUCCAUCAGUAGACUGCUGCCUGAUGCUUUGUCUCUGAAGUCUGGUCUCAAUGCCACCGGUCCGGAGCCAAGAUGACUCCAGCUGCCUGGAAUUCCAUUCAUCUCUUUGGGAAGGGACGUCAGCGGCGGCGAUGCUUCUCCAGCUGUGGCCCUGCGUGAGCAGGCUUGGCUCUGACUCCAGAGACCCAGAAAGGCAGGAAAUGGAGACAGGGGCCAACUGAGGGUGCUCAUUUCACAGUAGACAACUGCCCCAGCUCCUGAAGGCCACUCCCAUCUAGAAGUCACCCUUUAUGAUUUCAGCUCUCUGGCACGUCGACCACAGGAGGCCAUCGGAAUGGAAGGCCUGAUCUGUUCAGCAUGGUUGUCACCAGAAGGGACACUCUGGAAAGCCACCAAGCUGUAUUUGUGCUUCACGCCCUCCAUUUAUAACAGACAACCUGCUUCAGGAUGAGGUAGCCAGAACCUAUUUAGCCACUGGAAAAUAACAGAAAAAAAAUAGAUCCUGCAAUCUUGCAUAAAAGCCAUGGCGCACCCUGGUCUGAAGAGUGGUUUGCAAGCUGCCGGGUCUCCUCAGGCGCUGGCAAGACAGAGAGGCUUGUAGAAGAAAGGAUCUUGAGAUCCAUGCUCCAGGAAGCAGCCUCAUAAGAUGGAUGCCUCUUCCACUGUGAGAGGAGAUGGGGGACCCACAGAAGCUGGUGGCUUGAACCGCCGGAUGUAUCCGGUUUUCCUGUCAUCAGCUUUUCACCUCAUUACCUCCUGCAGCUUUAUGUUACUAUUUAGAUUUUUUUUUUUUAAACAUGAGGAUUUUUUUUUAAUGUUUGGAGUUGUGUAUUCAAUAAAUUCAAUAAACAGAUAAGCAGUGAUAUACCAAAUACAGGCAUUAUAAAGAUUUUUUUAAAGUAAAUGUCUGUUUAGAAUAAAAUGUUGUUAUAAAAGCCAGAAUUGGAUUCUAAUAAAACAAUUUAAUAAAACAAGGCACAAUGUUUUAAGGCAAAAUUUAUAAAGAAAGUAUAUAAAGUUAAUAUAAGAUUCUAUUAAAAAUAUCCUCUGUGGGAAGAGGCACAAGAUUUAAAUAGCUUAUAAAUUUGAUACAAUAGGAAAUAUCUUUUCCAGAAAACAAACUCCACUGUUGAAUCUUAUAUCUGAGUUCCAUUUUAAUAAUUAUGUUUAUAUUUAUGCAGAUAUUUAUAAUACACAGACUUUAAGUACAGAAAACUAUGAUGUCAGAGCAGAGAUAAUAAUUUGACCAAAAUAAAAGGUGACAUCUUUUCAGCAUCUUUUGCUGGUCUUUGAAAGUCUUAACUUUAAAAAGUGAAGACUUGUUAUUUAAAAGACUUUUCCCAUUGUGUUUUUGUUUCUCACAGACACAAAGUGUCUGUGGGCUGAAAGUGUAACAUACCACAUGAGUAUUUUCUGACCUGGGAAUUUCUGCUGUGGUUGGAGCUAUCUGCUUAGGGAUGACUUUCAUGACUUAACUGAUCCUGGAGGCAGGAACUAUGGAGGAGUGCUGCUAACUGACUUGCUUUCCAUGGCUUGCUCAGCUUUGUUUCUUAUACAACUCUGGACCACUUGACCAGGGGCGGCAUCGCCCACAUCAAUUGUUAACCAAGAAAAGGCCUCACAGACUUGCCAAUAGGCCAAUGUGGUGGAAGCAACUCCUCAAAUGAGGUUCCCUCUCCCCAGGUGACUGUAGUGUCUAGUUGACAAAAACUAACCAGCACAAAACCAUCAUAGCAGGGAAGUCAUAGUUGCAGAUUGGAGGAACUGGUUACAUCACACCGAUCAUUGGGAACAAGGUGCAGUGAAUGCAUGCUUGCAAAUACUAAGCUGGCUUUCUUCUUUAUGCAGAGUUCAGGGUCCAGAUCAAAAUUUCCACCCAAUUUCAGGGUGAGUCUUUCCACCUCAACCAACUCACCUAAGACAAUCCUCACAGAUAAGGCCACAGGCCAACCCAGAUAAUUCCUCACCAAGAGGGUGACAAUAAAAGCUAACUAUACACCAUGACUCACUCCAUUUUGACUGCACACUGUAAGCAUUUUCACCAGGCUGGCACAUGAAUGAAGGAACAGAGACGACCUCUGUGGGGAACAUCUUGGUUUUCAAGUAAGAAGCUAGAGACCAAGGAAAUUGUUCUGCCUGGAAACUUUAAUCUCUCCAGUACUUGACACCAUAUUGCUUAAGGUGAAUUUGGAAAGGAAUCUUUUCUGUUUGUCCGGUUUGGUUUUGGAGGGGCACAGAGACUGAAGGAGGAGGAACUGAACAGGACUCUUUAAAGCUCAGCAGCCAGCACUAUAGGCUCAUCACCGCGUGCCAAGAAACCAGACCAAGCACCUCUAGAACUCUGGAUCCACAGGGAAGAACUUGGCAGUCAUAUCUCUCGGAGCCAAAUAUGAAAUGUUCAAGGUAUUCUAAUAAUACUCAAAUAUCUCAGAGGAAGACACACCAAUUCAUUAGAUUUUGUACUUUGCAUGAGACCCUGACCAUACACUCAUUUGGGACCCUUGGGUAGAAAAGUGGAGGACACUUGAAGCAAAUUACUAUGACCCUGCCCCAGGUGUAAGUCCUACCACUGCCUCACUGUUCUUCUUAGUGACUUCCUCUCACUGAAACAAACACACCACCAUCUCCACACUCUGGCUGACUCUACAAUCUCUAUGGGAGCAUCUCUACAUCUCCACACAUGUGCAAAGACAAUGCUUUGCUGAAGAUGCUUUCCUGUCAAUGGAGCGAAGGAAGACAGAGGGGAGUGGCCUUUUAAGCCUUGUUGCUCAUCAGCAAUGACAGACUUGUGAGUAGAACACAGAACCUGUUUGUUCCUUGACUUUCGAAUCCUCAGCUGCUUCAACUGACAAUCCGCUGGUGCAGGUCUUGGGGCUGGGGUGCCCUGCUCUGGCUUAAAUAGUGUGAGUAUCCUGGGAGCUGAAGAUAUGUCAGUAAGAACAAUCACUGCUUUCAUGGGAGUUGAAAAACUGAAAACAUGCCUGUGACUGUGUAGUUAGGCUCAAGUGUGUAUCAUCUGCCCUCCAUCCUUACCCGCCAUGACAGGGGCCCACCCAUCCCUCACCCAUGCAAGCUAUUCUGAAGUUAGCUUUGGGGAAAAUAGGUAUGGACAAGUGUGCUGUAUCCAUUGUGAGAUUUUCUAAUAAAGCAAUCUUCCAUGCCU